AACGUUACCAAACUGUUGCCUCGGCGGGAUCUCUGCCCCGGGUGCGUCGCAGCCCCGGACCAAGGCGCCCGCCGGAGGACCAACCAAAACUCUUUUUGUAUACCCCCUCGCGGGUUUUUUAUAAUCUGAGCCUUCUCGGCGCCUCUCGUAGGCGUUUCGAAAAUGAAUCAAAACUUUCAACAACGGAUCUCUUGGUUCUGGCAUCGAUGAAGAACGCAGCGAAAUGCGAUAAGUAAUGUGAAUUGCAGAAUUCAGUGAAUCAUCGAAUCUUUGAACGCACAUUGCGCCCGCCAGUAUUCUGGCGGGCAUGCCUGUCCGAGCGUCAUUUCAACCCUCGAACCCCUCCGGGGGGUCGGCGUUGGGGAUCGGCCCUGCCUCUUGGCGGCGGCCGUCUCCGAAAUACAGUGGCGGUCUCGCCGCAGCCUCUCCUGCGCAGUAGUUUGCACACUCGCAUCGGGAGCGCGGCGCGUCCACAGCCGUUAAACACCCAACUUCUGAAAUGUUGACCUCGGAUCAGGUAGGAAUACCCGCUGAACUUAAGCAUAUCAAU
rnacentral:rRNA from 1 species